rnacentral:lncRNA from 1 species
GUAGGAGGGAAAAAUGGUUUCAUGGGCUGGGCCCAGGACCCUACUCCUACUCUGUGCAGCCUUGGGACUUGGUGCCCUGCAUCUCAGCCAUGGCUAAAAGGGGCCAACAUACAGCUCAGGACAUUGUUUCAGAGGAUGCAAGCCCCAAGCCUUGGCAGCUUAUACAUGGUGUUGAGCCUAUGGGUGCACAGAAGUCAAGAAUUAAGGUUUAGGAACCUCUGUCUACAUUUCAGAGGAUGUAUGGAAAUGCCUGGAUGUCCA